rnacentral:rRNA from 1 species
UACGUAGGUGGCAAGCGUUGUCCGGAUUUACUGGGCGUAAAGGGCGUGCAGGCGGUCUGUUUAGUCUAGGGUGAAAGCUCCCGGCUCAACUGGGAGAGGUCCUUGGAUACUGGCAGACUUGAGGGAGGCAGAGGAAAGUGGAAUUCCCGGUGUAGUGGUGAUAUGCGUAGAUAUCGGGAGGAACACCAGUGGCGAAGGCGGGUCUCUGGACAGUUCCUGACACUGAGAUACGAAGGCCAGGGGAGCAAACGGG